UACGUAGGGUGCAAGCGUUGUCCGGAAUUAUCGGGCGUAAAGCGCGUGUAGGCGGCCCGGUAAGUCCGCUGUGAAAGUCGGGGGCUCAACCCUCGAAUGCCGGUGGAUACUGUCGGGCUAGAGUGCGGGAGAGGCGAGUGGAAUUCCUGGUGUAGCGGUGAAAUGCGCAGAUAUCAGGAGGAACACCAAUUGCGAAGGCAGCUCGCUGGAACGUAACUGACGCUGAGACGCGAAAGCGUGGGGAGCAAACAGG
rnacentral:rRNA from 1 species